AACGCACGAGACCUGCGGACCUGCGGAAGGAUCAUUACUGAGUGCGGGCCCUCCGGGUCCAACCUCCCACCCGUGUCUACCGUACCUUGUUGCUUCGGCGGGCCCGCCGUCACGGCCGCCGGGGGGCGCUCUGCCCCCGGGCGCGCGCCCGCCGAAGACCCCUUCUUGAACACUGUGUGAAGGUUGCAGUCUGAGUGGAUUACCUAAAUCGUUUAAAACUUUUAGCAACGGAUCUCUAGA
rnacentral:misc_RNA from 1 species